UGGGUUAUAGCUCAGUGGUAGAGCAUGUGUUUAGCAUGUGCAAGGUCCUGGGUUUGAUCCCUAGUACCCCCU
rnacentral:tRNA from 1 species